rnacentral:rRNA from 1 species
UGGGGAAUAUUAGGCAAUGGGGGAAACCCUGACCUAGCAACGCCGCGUGAAGGAAUGAAGGUUUUCGGAUUGUAAACUUCUUUUGUCAGGGACGAUAAUGACGGUACCUGACGAAUAAGCCACGGCUAACUACGUGCCAGCAGCCGCGGUAAUACGUAGGUGGCGAGCGUUGUCCGGAUUUACUGGGUGUAAAGGGCGAGUAGGCGGGUAUGCAAGUCAGGUGUGAAAUCUAUGGGCUUAACCCAUAAACUGCACUUGAAACUGUGUAUCUUGAGUGAUGGAGAGGCAGGCGGAAUUCCCGGUGUAGCGGUGAAAUGCAUAGAGAUCGGGAGGAACACCAGUGGCGAAGGCGGCCUGCUGGACAUUAACUGACGCUGAGGCGCGAAAGUGUGGGGAGCAAACA